UAGUUAUUUUUGACUCCCCUCUUGUCGGAAGAGAACUUCAUAAAUGAUGUCACAAUAAACGGAAUGUGAGAGAAAUCUCAGAAAUGAAAUUUGUAAGGGCAGAGACUGCGGAAGAAGAGAAAGAUCAUCGCCCAGUCUCCUGAGUGCUAAUGAAUUUAUGGGGAAGCAGCGUUAAUGAGUUCCUAGGAAGAGAUGUUGUCAGGGGUUGCAAGCCUUGGAACAACAAUGCUGCCCAAUUUAUUUGGGGAAAAUCUUAAGGAACCUGUUCAGUAUCCACUGCAUCCCAGAUCCUGUGCUUGGAGUGCGAUGUUGGAGAGCAAAGCCAGAAGAGAUCUCAAGGAGCUUUCAGCCUGGGAAGGGAGGCCAACUCUUACCAAUAGCCGCCAUGUGGACAUCAAUCGUGAUGUAUGUGUUUCUCGUCUCAGUGCCUGUCUUCACUUAGGUCAUGUUCCUCAUCUCCCAGAUGAAUAUCCCUCUUUAAAUCUGUCUUGUCCUUGAAAAUUUCCCCAAUUGCACAAAGCUCAGGAGAUUGACAUAGCCCCUGUGUCCUCAAUGGGUGCUUUGCACACGUCCUUGGAAGCACCCCCACAUUUUACUGUGACUAUGUCUCUGCCUGCUUGUCAGAUAGAGUGGAUUGUCCACAUUAAGAGAGCAAAUAAGGCCAACUAGCACUGAAAACCCGGCACCAACAUGGCGGCCAGUAUAAAUGAGAAUUCCAGAGACAACUGUUGAUUGUAUGAAUUAAUACCGGCUUUUUGAGUGAGUAGGUUCUUCUCCAAUUUCCUGUCCAUAAGUGACCUGGAUGAAAUCUGGCUUCUCAUAAAUAAUGGAUUGUAGUCAUUUCAUGGGCCCCACAAAUCUCAGAAUCGAUCACAUUUCUCUUUUCAUCUGGCUUCUAGGAAGCUCAGAGCUCACUUUUAGCAUAAUAUGGAACCAUCUGGUUUGCCUUUCCAGUUAUUCACCUAAGCAAUAGCUUUUUUCCUUUUUACUGUAGGGUCACUCUGAUUUCUUCCCAUGUUUAUGUUAUUGUGUCAUCAUGUCCAUUCAUUUCUUUACAAAGGGGAGUAAUACACUUCUUUUAAGAGAUCUGGUUGAUGGAGUUGUCUGGGUGGCCCCACUCCUUAAAUUGCUUGGUCAUUGACUGUAGAUUCAUUGCAUGCUCUUAAAUGAUAACCUUCCCUCUCUCAUUCUCCUGGAGGGUCUCUUAGACAAAAUACGGUAUUGCACACAAGCACAUUCAGAUGAAAAAUCCUAUCACUGGUGAUAACUUAGAAUGAUAGAAUCUUAAUAAACUUUCUGUGUUUGAUUGGCUGGGAUAACGA
rnacentral:lncRNA from 1 species